AGAAUCAACGCUGGCGGCGUGCCUAACACAUGCAAGUCGAACGAGAAAGUGGAGCAAUCCAUGAGUAAAGUGGCGUACGGGUGAGUAACACGUGACUAACCUACCCUCGAGUGGGGAAUAACCUCGGGAAACCGGGGCUAAUACCGCAUAAUAUCUUCGGAUCAAAUGCGUAAGCAGCUUGAGGAGGGGGUCGCGGCCGAUUAGCUAGUUGGCGGGGUAAUGGCCCACCAAGGCAAUGAUCGGUA
rnacentral:rRNA from 1 species